rnacentral:rRNA from 1 species
UACGGGAGGCAGCAGGGGAAGUAUUGCACAAUGGGCGGCAAGACCUGAUGCAGCCACUGCCGCGCGUAUGAAGAAAGGCCUUCGGGUUGUAAAGUACUUUCAGUCGUGAGGAAGGUGUUAAGGUUAAUAACCUUAGCAAUUGACGUUAGCGACAGAAGAAGCACCGGCUAACUCCGUGCCAGCAGCCGCGGUAAUACGGAGGGUGCGAGCGUUAAUCGGAAUUACUGGGCGUAAAGGGCACGCAGGCGGUUAAUUAAGUUGGAUGUGAAAUCCCCGGGCUUAACCUGGGAAUGGCAUUCAAGACUGGUUAGCUAGAGUCUUGUAGAGGGGGUAGAAUUCCAUGUGUAGCGGUGAAAUGCGUAGAGAUGUGGAGGAAUACCGGUGGCGAAGGCGGCCCCUGGACAAAGACUGACGCUCAUGUGCGAAAGCGUGGGGAGCAAACAGGGAUUAGAUACC